GCCCGCUCCCGUGAGGCGCGGCUCCGCGUCGGGUACGGAGCGGCCGUUUGGCAUCAAACUGUCGCCCUCCGCUGAUGGGAUCGGUGAUGUCCCGACCCCAAGUGGACGCCCGCUGAGGGGUUUAUUCUUCUCGGCAAAGCCUGAGCGGGCGGUGAGGAGCUCCUGAGCUGCCCGGUCGGCCCUGCGGCCCACCAGCACAGGAAGCCUGCUGGAGAGUCAGAAGUUGGCCAUGGUGCAACAGGAGCUCUCACAGGAGAUAAGGUGGGAACAAGGAAAAGAACAAAGUGGGUGUUUUGCAACCACAGUCGGCGAGGACAAGCUCUGAGAAGCAUCUGUGCCAAAACUCUGUGUAAGGACAUGGCACAGGAUUUGACUUACAUUCAAGCUACCUGCUGAGGAGGCUGAGGAAAAAAUAGCCAAACCAAAGACUGCAAAUUCACUGGGCUGAAGUGGCAUUCUCUUAAGUGCUCAGGAUGAGGAACCAGGAUGAAACAAUUCAAUUACUUAAUUGUAGCAGGUAAUCACUGUGCAUGGCAG
rnacentral:lncRNA from 1 species